AGCGAACGCUGGCGGCAGGCCUAACACAUGCAAGUCGAACGAACCUUUCGGGGUUAGUGGCGGACGGGUGAGUAACACGUGGGAACGUGCCUUUAUGUUCGGAAUAACUCAGGGAAACUUGUGCUAAUACCUAAUGUGCCCUCCGGGGGAAAGAUUUAUCGCCUUUAGAGCGGCCCGUGUCUGUUUAGCUAGUUGGUUGAGGUAAUGGCUCACCCAGGCGACGAUCAGUAGCUGGUCUGAGAGGAUGAUCAGCCACAUUGGGACUGAGACACGGCCCAAACUCCUACGGGAAGCAGCAGGGGGGAAUCUAGCGCAAUGGGCGAAAGCCUGACGCAGCCAUGGCGGGUGAAUGAUGAAGGUCUUAGGAUCGUAAAAUUCUUUCACCGGGGACGAUAGUGACGGUACCCGGAGAAGAAGCCCCGGCUAACUACGUG
rnacentral:rRNA from 1 species